rnacentral:misc_RNA from 1 species
AACACUGUUAACCUGCGGUACCUGCGGAAGGAUCAUUACCGAGUUUACAACUCCCAAACCCAUGUGAACAUACCUAUCGUUGCUUCGGCGGAUCGCCCCGGGCGCCUUGCGUGCCCCGGAUCCAGGCGGCCGCCGGGGGACCUUAACUCUUGUUUUUACUGAGAAUCUUCUGAGUCGUUUUUACAAAUAAAUAAAAACUUUCAGCAACGGAUCU